GAGGAAGAACAAGAAGAAGAAACU
rnacentral:sRNA from 1 species